rnacentral:rRNA from 1 species
AUCGAACGCUGGCGGCAUGCCUUACACAUGCAAGUCGAACGGUAACAGGUCUUCGGAUGCUGACGAGUGGCGAACGGGUGAGUAAUGCAUCGGAACGUGCCCAGUAGUGGGGGAUAGCCCGGCGAAAGCCGGAUUAAUACCGCAUAGGACCUGAGGGCGAAAGGGGGGGAUCGCAAGACCUCUCGCUAUUGGAGCGGCCGAUGGGAGAUUAGCUAGUUGGUGGGGUAAAGGUCUACCAAGGCCACGAUCUGUAGUUGGUCUGAGAGGACGACCAGCAACACUGGGACUGGGACACGGCCCAGACUCCUGCGGGAGGCAGCAGUGGGGAAUUUUGGACAAUGGGCGCAAGUCUGAUCCAGCAAUGCCGCGUGCAGGAAGAAGGUCUUCGGGUUGUAAACUGCUUUUGUCAGGGAAGAAAUCUGCUGGGUUAAUACCUCGGGAGGAUGACGGUACCUGAACAAUAAGCACCGGCUAACUACGUGCCAGCCGCCGCAGUAAGAC